UGCCAGCAUCCGCGGUACUCCGGAAGUGGCGAUCGUUAUUCGGAAUUACUGGGCGUAAAGGGUGCGUAGGCGGCCCAUCAAGUUAGACGUGAAAGCCCCGGGCUCAACCUGGGAACUGCAUUCCAAACUGUCAAGCUAGAGUAUGGUAGAGGGAGGUAGAAUUUCCUGUGUAGCGGUGAAAUGCGUAGAUAUAGGAAGGAAUACCGGUGGCGAAGGCGGCCUCCUGGACCAAUACUGACACUGAGGUGCGAAAGCGUGGGGAGCAAACAGGAUUAGAUA
rnacentral:rRNA from 1 species